rnacentral:sRNA from 1 species
UGCCUAAACCUCCGAAUUUAUCGGUGGCACGGCGUCAGAGAAAGCCCGUAGCAAACAUUAACGGUCUCCUGACCGGCACUUGUUUUGCUACGGGUUCACAUCUGAAAGGGUGUGAGGCAACUUCGAAAGGGGUUGUC